GGAGGCGGCGAGGAGUUUCGGGUCUGCGUUGGAUUGGAUGAGGGAGUCGUGUUAACACUCUGGCAAGUGUACUAGAUUGUUUCAAGUAAUAUAAUUGGUAAACCUAAUAUCAUUCUUCCCAAAGAACUCGAAGGCCUUAUCGUUCGUGCAAAUUGAAAUCGUAAGACUUGUAAAGAAAAAUUAAUUGGUUUGGAUGCAAGAAACAACAAGUAAACAUGCAAAUGCGAAUGAUUCAAUUGACGAGAAAAAGACUAUGGAUGAAUGGAGUUGUUGGGGUUUACAAUUUCAUCUUAUCCACUCUCUCUUAUCUACUCCUCUUAUUUGAUUUGCUUUGUUAUCUAAUUGUCAUGCAAACUUUCUUAGUCUACCCUUAACCCGAUCCCUCGGUGAAAAGAGCCUAUUACUAAUUACUGGCUUGUUAUCCCUAGCCUCCCCUAGUAAUUAAUAAUGCAUGAUAAACAGAAGCAAAAACAAUUGAUCGUCCUACCCCCCUAUCCCUAGGUGGUAUUGCUUAAUCGAGGAAUUUCCCACCAGUUCAUGACAGUACCGUACGUUCCCAUAUCAAUAAAGACAAACAACAAUUAUCGAAUGAGUUAAAUGAUAAAAGCAUUAAGAGCAGAUGAGAAACCCAACAAUUGAUAAUCAUAGCAUACGACAAGCAUAUAAAUAAAUAAGAGUUUCAAUAAAAGAGAGUUUCAAAAGAU
rnacentral:lncRNA from 1 species